rnacentral:misc_RNA from 1 species
GAUGAAGAACGCAGCGAAAUGCGAUAAGUAGUGUGAAUUGCAGAAUUCCGUGAAUCAUCGAAUCUUUGAACGCACAUUGCGCCUCCUGGUAGUCCGGGAGGCAUGCCUGUUCGAGCGUCACCAAAUCCAACUCAAGCGGUUUUGCGCUUGGUCGUGGCGGAAGAGUCGGUCUGGUUGCCGUCUCCCCUCCGAAAAUCAACGGCGGAAAGUCACUGGCAGUCAGCGUAGUAGUAUCGUUCGCCGAACAUCCAGUGGCAUCCCUGCCGACGUACCCCCACAAUUCUCGUGAUUGACCUCGGAUCAGGUAGGGAUACCCGCUGAACUUAAGCAUAUCAAUAAGCGGAGGA